rfam:Homo sapiens chromosome 7, GRCh38 reference primary assembly.
GCUGGGCAUGGUGGUGCAUGCCUGAGGUCCAGGCUACUUUGGAGGCUGAGGUGGGAGGAUCGCUUGAGCCAGGGAGGUUUAGACUGCAGUAGAGUCAUGAUUCAUACUACUGCACUCUAGCCUGAGCAACAAAGCAAGACCCUGUCUCAA